rnacentral:hammerhead_ribozyme from 1 species
AUCCAGCUGACGAGUCUGAAAUAGGACGAAACGCGCAUCCUGGAU